rnacentral:pre_miRNA from 1 species
UGGACAAAUUACUAUAUUCGACUGUAUACACGACGCGAAAUAGGGAAUUACAUUGUUUUUAAAUGGAAAGUGUAUCAAUUUAACAUAAUAGACUCCU